GACGAACGCUGGCGGCGUGCUUAACACAUGCAAGUCGAACGGAAAGGCCCUUCGGGGUACUCGAGUGGCGAACGGGUGAGUAACACGUGGGUGAUCUGCCCUGCACUUUGGGAUAAGCCUGGGAAACUGGGUCUAAUACCGAAUAGGACCACGCGCUUCAUGGUGUGUGGUGGAAAGCUUUUGCGGUGUGGGAUGGGCCCGCGGCCUAUCAGCUUGUUGGUGGGGUAAUGGCCUACCAAGGCGACGACGGGUAGCCGGCCUGAGAGGGUGACCGGCCACACUGGGACUGAGAUACGGCCCAGACUCCUACGGGAGGCAGCAGUGGGGAAUAUUGCACAAUGGGCGCAAGCCUGAUGCAGCGACGCCGCGUGAGGGAUGACGGCCUUCGGGUUGUAAACCUCUUUCAAUAGGGACGAAGCGCAAGUGACGGUACCUAGAGAAGAAGCACCGGCCAACUACGUG
rnacentral:rRNA from 1 species